CACCUGCAUUCAAAAAUGAUCACGGGCUGCCUGUGCUCUGGUCAUCGAUAACGCAGGGAGAGGAAUUGCUGAAAGCCGUUUCCCGUGUUUGGAGGGUUCACACCUGUCCCUUUCAAAUGCUGGCGCCUUCACACACUC
rnacentral:snoRNA from 1 species